rnacentral:lncRNA from 1 species
GCGCUUCAGAAUGUGACCGUAUUUGGAAACAGGCUCGUUGCAGAUGUAAUUAGUUAAGUUAAGAUGAGGUCGUACUGGAGUAGCGUGGGCCCCUAAUCCAACAGGACUGUGUCUUUAUAAAAAGGGGAACUCUGGACACAGACACAGAGGGAGAACACCACGUGAAGAUGGGAGUGAUGCUGCCAGAAGCCAAGGAAGUACCAGAAGCUGGGAGAGAGGCCUGGAACACAGCCUUCCCUGGAGCCAUCAGAGGGAGCGUGGCCUGGCUGACACCUUGAUCUUGGACUUUCCAGCCUCCAGAACCGGGAGAGAAUAAAUGUCUGCUGUCUAAACCACCCACUUUGUGGUACUCGGUGGGGGCAGCCGGAGGAAACUAAUUCAGCCACCAACCACCUCGGCUGCCUUGAAGGUGACUCCUCUUGCUGCCAUUAUAGAUUGCUAGGAAGUCUGGGGUUUUGUGACCAUAACUUCCCUCAGCCAAGACUUCCUGAUGAGAAAACUGAGGCACAGAGACCACACAGAGGCUUCCUACACGUUCAUUCUCAUUCACGCUACCCCUCACUGCUUCCUGGAAUCCUCUCCCAAGAAAACUCCAUCAUCUCUGGGUCUGCUCUGAGGAGAACCACCUAAGACCCAUGGCCUCUUUGGGAUAAAAUAAUGGAUCUGCUGCAAAAGCCCAGUCCACCUUUCUAAGCUGUGCAAUGCUGGGCAAGGGAAAUGGGAAGAGACUAAUACUUAGUUCUCAGAAUUCCUUUGAGAAUUAAAUGAGGUAGUUCUUAUACAGUUUGCACAGUGGCUAGCAAAGAGUAGCCCUUCCAUAGAUGUUGGCUAUUAUUACUCUCCUGCUGCUUCUUCUGAAGCCUUCUCCGUCCCCUGUGCCCUGUGGGUAUCCAACAUCCAGAUCAUGCAGGAAUGGUGACGUGGAGCUUCAGAAAGGUGUCUGUACUUGCGAUGGGAGAAAAGGGCUUGAAUCUAGCUGGGCCACCAAUCAAGGAAACUGAAACUUGGUUUCCUUAUCUGUGAAAUGAGAAUGUAAAUAUCAACCUCACGGGGCUAUUGUGAAGAAGAAAUUAAACAAUGUGUAGACAGCACUUGGCAAUGAAUCUGGUGUGUGGUCGGCACUCAGCAAACGUUUGUUGAAGGAAAAGCAGGAGUGACAGGGUCCUGAAUGACCUGCUGGGGUUGUGGCAUCUCUCCCACUGCCCCCUGCAUGGGACUCCCCAGGGCCACCUUGGCCUAGGCAAGCAGGAGGAGUCAGUAGAUGGAAAGGCCUGGCCGCUUGCCACUCUUGAUGAGGCUCAACUCCUUGUUCCGUGCCCAGCCAGGAAACAGUAUUAUUCCAUGAGCCCAAACCCCUCAUUGGACGAGGCCAGCAAUAACCACUGGGAUGCCAUUGUUGUUUGUGAGAUGUCUGGGCAGGACUAAUAGGUGGGGUUGACCAGAAUGAGGGAUUGUAUUAUGAGCGAAGGCGUGUUCUCAAGGGAUCCCUCCUACUCCAAAGGAUGGAGGAAGAUGCUCCAUUGAAUGAGAGCGGAGACACAGA